rnacentral:pre_miRNA from 1 species
UUGCUACUCCCUCCGUUCGAAAUUACUUGUCUCGGAAAUGGAUGUAUCUAGAACUAAAAUACGUCUAGAUACAUUCAUUUCUGCGACAAGUAAUUCCGAACGGAGGGAGUAGAAU